rnacentral:ncRNA from 2 species
CCGGUAACAUUCGGGUCCGGUUCCGGUGGUGAACAGCCACCGGGGGCAAGGGGGAAAGUCCGGUGUGAGUCCGGCGCUGUCCCGCAGCUGUGAAGCCCGUGCUCCGGUCGACAACCGCCGCACGAGCCAGUCAGAACACCCGCCGGUACUCCCUCUCGUGC